GGUUGGCUCGGUCAGCCGUUCCCUCCGCCCUCCCGCGGAGAAGAGGGCCCGGUGGAAAAGAUGAUUGAAGAAAGUGGAAAGAGGAGGAGGACAAUGGCAGAGAAAAGACAGCUCUUCAUGGAAAUGAGGGCUCAGAAUUUUGAUGUCAUCCGGCUGUCAACAUAUCGGACUGCCUGCAAACUCAGAUUUGUGCAAAAAAGAUGUAAUUGUAAGUAAAAAAAAAAAUGACUUUAGAGGGAGGGUAAAGAUAAACAGCUCAAACAAUUUUUCAGUCAUGAUGGAAAAUGCGAACAUUUUGAAGUGAUAAUAGAAAAUGGAAAAAAAUUUACU